ACAGUUGGUGUCCCCUGGAAACCUUGAGUUGGCAAACAGAUCCAAAGCGGUAGUGGUCUUUCACAGAGAUUGAUCCACAAGUAAUCAGGUGCAUGAUCAUGUUUGCGGCUUUCAAUUUUGAUCCGGUUGGGAGGUAAACAUCCUCUCCUUCCAAAUUCCUAUAGCCGUUCCUUCUGCUUAGUUCUGCUCUUAUCAGGGAUUGCAGUGUACUCAUCUUUGCACAUGAAGGAGAGGAAGGACCUGAAGAUGUUGGUGGCUGUGAACUCCCUACUUUAACGAUAUUUGGGUCCUCCUUCGAACACAUCAAUCCACGAUUUCUCCUUUCUUCUCCGUUGUCGAUUUGAG
rnacentral:lncRNA from 1 species